rnacentral:rRNA from 1 species
GCAAGUAGAACGCUGAGAACUGGUGCUUGCACCGGUUCAAGGAGUUGCGAACGGGUGAGUAACGCGUAGGUAGCCUACCUCAUAGCGGGGGAUAACUAUUGGAAACGAUAGCUAAUACCGCAUAAGAGAGACUAAGCAUGUUAUAAUUUAAAAGGGCAAUUGAUCCACUAUGAGAUGGACCUCGUUGUAUUACUAUUGUGAGGUAAAGGCUCACCGCGGACGACGAUACAUAGCCGACCUGAGAGGGUGAUCGGCCACACUGGGACUGAGACACGGCCCAGACUCCUACGGGAGGCAGCAGUAGGGAAUCUUCGGCAAUGGGGGCAACCCUGACCGAGCAACGCCGCGUGAGUGAAGAAGGUUUUCGGAUCGUAAAGCUCUGUUGUUAGAGAAGCAUGAUCGUGGGAGUGGAACAUCCACCAAGUGACGGUAACUAACCAGAAAGGGACGGCUAACUACGUGCCAGCAGCCGCGGUAAUACGUAGGUCCCGAGCGUUGUCCGGAUUUACUGGGCGUAAAGCGAGCGCAGGCGGUUUUUUAAGUCUGAAGUUAAAGGCAUUGGCUCAACCAAUGUACGCUUUGGAAACUGGAGAACUUGAGUGCAGAAGGGGAGAGUGGAAUUCCAUGUGUAGCGGUGAAAUGCGUAGAUAUAUGGAGGAACACCGGUGGCGAAAGCGACUUUCUGGUCUGUAACUGACGCUGAUGUG